rnacentral:rRNA from 1 species
CCUACGGGUGGCAGCAGUGAGGAAUAUUGGUCAAUGGGCGCGAGCCUGAACCAGCCAAGUCGCGUGAGGGAAGACGGUCCUAUGGAUUGUAAACCUCUUUUGCCGGGGAGCAAAAGACGCCACGCGUGGCGUUCUGAGAGUACCCGAAGAAAAAGCAUCGGCUAACUCCGUGCCAGCAGCCGCGGUAAUACGGAGGACGCGAGCGUUAUCCGGAUUUAUUGGGAUUAAAGGGGGCGCAGGCGGAAGAUCAAGUCAGCGGUAAAAUUGAGGGGCUCAACCCCUUCGAGCCGUUGAAACUGGUUUUCUUGAGUGAAUGAGAAGUAUGCGGAAUGCGUGGUGUAGCGGUGAAAUGCAUAGAUAUCACGCAGAACUCCGAUUGCGAUGGCAGCAUACCGGCGCUCAACUGACGCUGAUGCACGAAAGUGUGGGUAUCGAACAGGAUUAGAUACCCGUGUAGUC